GAUGAACGCUGGCGGCGUGCCUAAUACAUGCAAGUCGAGCGAAUGGAUUAAGAGCUUGCUCUUAUGAAGUUAGCGGCGGACGGGUGAGUAACACGUGGGUAACCUGCCCAUAAGACUGGGAUAACUCCGGGAAACCGGGGCUAAUACCGGAUAACAUUUUGAACCGCAUGGUUCGAAAUUGAAAGGCGGCUUCGGCUGUCACUUAUGGAUGGACCCGCGUCGCAUUAGCUAGUUGGCGAGGUAACGGCUCACCAAGGCAACGAUGCGUAGCCGACCGGGGGGGGUGAUCGGCCAGCCUGGGACGGAGACACGGCCCAGACUCCUACGGGAGGCAGCAGUAGGGAAUCUUCCGCAAUGGACGAAAGUCUGACGGAGCAACGCCGCGUGAGUGAUGAAGGCUUUCGGGUCGUAAAACUCUGUUGUUAGGGAAGAACAAGUGCUAGUUGAAUAAGCUGGCACCUUGACGGUACCUAACCAGAAAGCCACGGCUAACUACGUGCCAGCCGCCGCCGUAA
rnacentral:rRNA from 1 species